AAUCAACGCUGGCGGCGUGCCUCAGACAUGCAAGUCGAACGCGAAAGUUUCCUUCGGGGGAUGAGUAGAGUGGCGCACGGGUGAGUAACACGUAGGUAAUCUACCUUUAGAUGGGGAAUAACAAUCGGAAACGGUUGCUAAUACCGCAUAAUGCAGCGGCACCUAAUGGUGACAGUUGUUAAAGCGGGGGAUCGAAAGACCUUCGCGUCUGAAGAGGAGCCUGCGGCGGAUUAGCUAGUUGGUAAGGUAACGGCUUACCAAGGCGACGAUCCGUAGCGGCCUGAGAGGGCGGUCGGCCACACUGACACUGACAUACGGGUCAGGCUCCUACGGAGGCAGCAGUCGGGAAUUUUGGGCAAUGGGCGAAAGCCUGACCCAGCAACGCCGCGUGAAGGAUGAAAUCCCUCGGGAUGUAAACUUCGCAAGAACGGGAAGAAUAGGUAGGGGAC
rnacentral:rRNA from 1 species